GUCAUUCCAGGUACGACAAAAAAAACGCGGUAGCGAUUGGGUGUGUGUGAGAGAGAGGACUCCUCCCACGCCCUGUGCGCCCAAUCCUCUCGUCCCUCACGAACCCUAGCCGCCUCCAUGCCCCUCCUCCUCCUCUUGUCCCUCACGAACCCUAGCCUCCUCCUCCUCCUCCUCCUCCUCCAUCCUCCCGCGCCAGUCACCCCCCCCCCCCUCUCCCGCAUCUUGUCUACCCCGGGGAUCCGAGGUGUGCGGGCGCGGAGGCAUGCUUCCCCGGCGGCAGCAGCAACCUACAAGCAAAGGGCGACGGCGGCGGCGCUUGAUUCAAUCUGCAGGAGAGAGAGAGAAGAUGAGAAGGAGAAGAAGGAAGGAAAGGAGGGAGAAAGAGAGAGGAAAUAGGAGAGGGAGGCAGCGUCGAUUGGGAGAGGGUCAGUGCGGUGGUGCGGCGUGCGGUGGCCUCAGCGGGUGGGCGACGCGACGCAGCUCCUGUGCCUUAACCCUCUCCUUCCCGGCACAGCAGGAGUAGGAGCAAGGAUGCCAAUGUAAUUCAGGCAAACUGUCCUUCAGCAAUGGGAGCUUGCACUUAAUAUGGGAUACUCCUAAUCCAAAUGAGCACACUAUUAUAGCGAGGACCAUCUCAGGAUUAGAUGACUUCACACAAGUAAUCGGCCAGUACAGAGGAAUUGUUCCACAAAUUCGUUUGGUUCGCUGGUUAGUGUAUAGUCAAUUUUCUGUAGUACUCAAAUAAAACAUGCUAACAAUCAUUUUGUAUAGACUAAUGAGUUUAUUUUAAGGAGCGCCAGGCCAUCUUUCUCGUGUCAGCGAUCAUCUCCCUGUGCCUUCCCAUAGUGAUGCUUAGCCGCUGUCUAUCUAUAGUGUUCCAACCAGUGAUGAUAGCAGGAAGGAAGAGGAGGCAGAAAGGGAGAUGGGUAGGGAAAGAACAAAGGAUGCUAUGUAGUCUCUUUGAUGUGAUGCCACAAUUUUCUUUUUUCUUUUGCUAUUAAGUAGAGGUUGUGUGCUCUCUUUUGGAUCUAAUGCCAUCAUUUUUUUUGCUACCAACCCCGAUUUUAAGUUGGUCAGGUGCAAAGGAGGCUAACACAGUAUAUUGAACAAUAUGGUCUGGUAUUAUUGUUAGUUAUCACUUAUCAAUCGAUCCAGGAUUCAAUCUCAUUUUCAAAUUCAAGUGUUUCAUUUGAAGGAUGACGCAAAUCACACGCAAGGAACAUGUUAAUAUGCAUACUAUUGGUCUUCCUGAGUCAUUUGUGCAACAUAUAUAUUACGCCAUAGCAAUUGAAAGCUGACUGGUGUGCAGGUUGAAUUUUGUGUGUUCUAACUUCUAAGUUCUACAACAAUCAAGGGCUAUUGGUUCUGGAAAUUAUUCACAAACAUGCGGGCUCUGACCUACUUUUGUCCAAAUAUCUUUCUUUGUAGUGAAUUGUGCUGAUUCACAUUAAGGUGCAGCGAAACUACCUGAAAUCAUAUUAUUUUGUCUUCCCAUCGGCUACUUUUAAGAGGUCCUGAAGAGGAUGUUUCUGCACCCCUAUUAUGCUUACAGAAAAAGGCACCAGAAGGCUAUGGAUUUUCAAGAAUGGGCACUUUCGCUCAAUGGUCUUCCGAUGCAACACUGUAUGUGUCGUCAAAUUUUGGCUUUUGGCUGCUCGUGUAGUGUCUUCCUAAAUUAAUAGACCAGUCAGAUGCAUUGUGGCCAUUUUUGCUUUGGUUCAAUAAGUGAAGAAACCUAUAGGAACAUAUAUUCUGUGUUUUGUGAUCCACCUUGUAAGACUGCCGCCUCUCUAUUAAUAUAGACCUAUGACCUUACUUUGCUUGCUCUGCUUUAUGAGCGAAUGCUCUCCUGCUGCAGUUUCUAUAUAUUCUUUUUUUCAACAAUUGAUGUUUAUUUGGAUUGCAUACACGUUCACAAGUGCAUCAGCAGGAUUAGUGCGCAGAGUACCCCAGAAUGGACAGGUGUUCUCCUAAAGUACUCAUGCUCUUUGGUCAGGUGCUCUAGAGAUUUCUAAUAGUAGAUCUUAUGUGCAUGGUGAAUUCAACAAGUAUGUACUCUUCCUUCUCCAUAUUUGUGCCUACCACUUAUGAGUAUCAUGAGCAUUGCCAGGCCAGUGUAUCAUAUCUUGUGAAGCUGGACUUUCUGCUUUCCAGUUGGCCUACUGAUGUGCAAAUUGAGAUUUUUUAGCUCUCAAAAAGAUUGUGUAAAAUUUUUUUGAAUCUGAAAAUUUUGGGUUGCGAAGGCUGGGCAGGGUGUCUCAAUUAUCGAAAACAAGAAAGUCUGCUGCUAAAUAGGUUAUAUUUGUUUUCUGUAGCCAGCAUAUGAAAAAAAUGUACACUUAAGAACUGAGUAUUAUUCUUAUGGAUUGUCAUAUUGUUAUUCAUGAUCUCCUAUAGUAUGAUUAGACCAAUAUAAAGUGUGGCUUCUAUUUUUAACAGACCCUCAUAUUGAACUGUUGUCCAGUGUUUAUAUUGGUUAGUGUUAAUACCUUCCUGAUGGUUAGGUGGAUAUUUGAUCAAAGCAGGAACUUUAAUGUGCAUAGACGGCCUAUGAACUCAGAGGAACGUCUCACCUAAAAGUUGGACUGUUUUCUCAUUUUACAGGAUUGUGUAAAUUUUCUGAAUGAUGCAAGUUUCACCAUCCAGUUGAUCGGUCUGCACCUGAUUCCAUUGCAAAGUGGGAGCUUUCUCAGCAACCUGUGAUGCUUACUCUUGCUGGCCUUCCAAGCAGAAAGGUAACAUCCAGAAAUAAUCGUACUAGCAUGUUGAUAAUUCAGGACUAUAAAUGUAUUUGUGGUUCUUUGUUGCUAAAACAUUCCCUUCCGAGGUCGGGUUGGUGAAUCAGCCGUUGUCUUGUAGUAAGACGUUGGCAGUAGUCCGUUCACCAUAAGGAUCUCUCAAUUGCUGAAAACUAACUAAAUAUCACUAUGAGCUUUUACGGUGAGGAAUGAUGAAUGUUACCAUGCUGGGAUGCCUCUCACUACUGAAUCAUAAUUUCAUGAAAUGUUGUUGUCGAAUGCAAAUACUCGGUGUGUCCUACAGUCCACUUUGCAUACCUUUUGUCUUUGCUUUCUUGCAGAGUUAUUCGUUAGACGGUGUCAUCGAUUAUAACUUCACAUCGUCAAUGUUCAUCUUGUUUUUCAAGCACACAUGGAAGUUGCUGCAAGACACAUCACUGGGGCGGAUGCGAAGGCCGUCAAGGGCAGAGCAGAGCGAGACCGGGCGCGGCGGCCGGGUGCGGUCUGCAUAAUUGGUGGCCGGUGGUGGUGCGCGACCUGCGCGAGUUAGAGGCGAGGUGACGGCGUUGACCAGGACGCGUCGCAGAUCCUCAUCGUGCUUCCGCGAGAGGAGCUCGUCGAGGGUCCCCUCUUCCCCACGGAUCAGCGACGGAGGUGCUUGUGCCUUUCAUAUUCCAUUCCAAUGCUAGAAACAUAUAUCUUUUCAUCUGAUGGAGUUUUGUUCUAAUGUAAUUCCAUGGUCAUAUAUGGAGGACUGGAUUUGAAAGGAAAAAAUUGCAAGGAGUUUUUUUUAGGAUGUUCCUGAGGCAUUAAAGAACUGGCAGUCUCAUCGUAUGAAGGUUGUCAAAAGUCGUAAAUCAGUUCUCCCCUGCAUCCGCGAAGUGGCAGAAGAGGAUUGCGAUGGCUGUGCCCCGCGCCGCCUCCAUCCCUGCACCAUCUUCGUCACAUGCAGCGGCCGACUUAUCUCCGCACAACGUGAGUGGCUCAUUAAGGAGAUUGAAGCUGAGGAUGACGAGGCACAGAAGCAGCACGAUGGCGAUGCAAAAAAGUCACGUCGGUGGCUGGGUCAUCGACCUUGAUUCGAACGGAAUUAGUGAACUUUUUUAUUUGGUUUUUAUAAUGCUCGGUGUCUCACUUUUUGCGUCCACUUUGGUAAAUUGUGUUGAAUGACAACGCUUGACGGAUGUUCGUGAACGUGUUGGUGGUAUCUGUUUGGUGAUCCACAUUGGAGAUGCCCUAAUAUCCCUUGUAUACGAGUAAUUUAUUUAGCUUUUUUGAAAUUUA